UUGAGGAGGCGGUGACCAUGGCGGUGGAGGAGGAGGAUGAGUUAGCCAACACUGUUUAUAUAUAUAUAUAUAUAUUUUAAUUGGGGUAGCCCCCAAAAUAUUGGGACAUAUAAAAAAAGACAACUCUGUUCCGCAGAGUAGCUGUUGACAUUAUGGUUGCGCAGGAACUUUGUUGACUCUAGAGAACACCGGGCAAAUCGCACAUCCCCGUGGUGGCGACGACUUUGCAUGCGGAUGUCGUCCAUAUCAACUUUCAAUGCCAGUUUCUGCGCCUACCAUGGUGACCACGGGUAACGGGGAAUCAGGGUUCCAUUCCGUACUGGGACCCUGAGAAACGUCUACCACAUGCAAGGAAGGCAGCAGGUGUGCAAAUGACCCACUCCCGAUGCGGGAAGGUAGUGACGACAAAUAACAAUACAGGACUCUUUAGUCCACUUGAAAUCCUUUAACUCUGAUCAAUUGGAGGGAAGUCUGGUGCAGAGCCACUGACCUGUGCGAGCUACAG